UACGUAGGAUGCAAGCGUUGUCCGGAAUUAUUGGACGGAAAGAGCGCGCAGGCGGUUUUUCAAGUCAGAUGUGAAAUAUCCGGGCUUAACCCGGAGGGGUCAUUUGAAACUGAGAAACUAGAGUACAGCAGAGGAUAGCGGAAUUCCCGGUGUAGUGGUGAAAUGCGUAGAUAUCGGGAGGAACACCAGUGGCGAAGGCGGCUAUCUGGGCUGAAACUGACGCUGAGGCGCGAAGGCUAGGGGAGCAAACAGG
rnacentral:rRNA from 1 species